rnacentral:lncRNA from 1 species
GAAGGUCUCUUGGCCUGAAAGGAAUCCAAAGAGCUUUCCAAAGAGUAAUGGAGAAAACUUACUUCCGAAAUCACUAAGCUUGAUCCAGUCUGCAAUUCCUUCACUGAUCAAUUUGUUUGAUGAACAUGCACUUGAUACCUACUGUGCUAAACACUGGGAAGAAGCCUGAGUGAGGAGCAGAUCUUUCUUGAAGGCCGCAUUGUGCAUCUCCAGCUCUCACCUCAUACUACUUGGGAUACUGGGAAGUGACAAUGGAACUGGAGAUCAGCUGAGGACUCCAUCCUCUAGAUCAUUUCCUGAGUGUCCACCAUGUGCUUUGCCCUGGGGAACAGAUCUUAUUCUUUCUUGAUUCUUCUCUCUCUCUCUCUCCCCUUUCUGGUGUAAUGAUUGAAGCAAUGAUAAAUUAACUAUAUUCCUUGACUUACUAUAAGUUUACAUCCUGAUCAACCUAGCACAUGUCAAAACUGCAGUAAGUUGAACGUCUGGUGGUGAAUAUUCUGAACCUACUGAACAUCAUAACUUAACAACACAGAGCACUGCAGAGUACUGACUGCUGAUGCUGGGGAAGAAUAGUCCACUGGGAGCUGUGGCUGGAUGUCUACUGCCUUCACAAUGCUGUAACACCGAAAAGGCUUAAGUCAAACCAUCAUCAUAUGCAAUCUGGCUAACUGAGUCCGGAUUAAUGAAGUCUGGAUAUAACUGUUAAUUAGAAAAAGUUAAGAAAGCAUGUGUGGAGGGUGUACACUGUGAAAACACACUCUCUGGUAGACAGUCUAGUUAGGAUCCUUAAACCCAUGACAAUGUGUGAGGCAUAAUAAGUUGACCGUGGUCACCCUGGUUGGCUUCUUUAUUUAAUUAUAAUUAAUUAUUAUUAGAGCU